rnacentral:tRNA from 1 species
GACACUUUGGCCGAGUGGUUAAGGUAAGGUCGCUUGUAUCGCCCGCGCAGGUUCGAAUCCUGCAGGUGUCG